AUUGAACGCUGGCGGCAGGCUUAACACAUGCAAGUCGAGCGGAGAUGAGGUGCUUGCACCUUAUCUUAGCGGCGGACGGGUGAGUAAUGCUUAGGAAUCUGCCUAUUAGUGGGGGACAACAUUCCGAAAGGAAUGCUAAUACCGCAUACGCCCUACGGGGGAAAGCAGGGGAUCUUCGGACCUUGCGCUAAUAGAUGAGCCUAAGUCGGAUUAGCUAGUUGGUGGGGUAAAGGCCUACCAAGGCGACGAUCUGUAGCGGGUCUGAGAGGAUGAGCCGCCACACGGGGACUGAGACACGGCCCAGAAUCGUACGGGAGGAAGCAGUGGGGAAUAUUGGACAAUGGGCGGAAGCCUGAUCCAGCCAUGCCGCGUGUGUGAAGAAGGCCUUUUGGUUGUAAAGAACUUUAAGCGAGGAGGAGGCUACCUGGAUUAAUACUCUAGGAUAGUGGACGUUACUCGCAGAAUAAGCACCGGCUAACUCUGUGCCAGCCGCCGCGGUAAAAC
rnacentral:rRNA from 1 species